rnacentral:siRNA from 1 species
AACAACACAAAAAGUGCCCUCUC